rnacentral:rRNA from 1 species
CACGUAGGGGGCAAGCGUUGUCCGGAUUCAUUGGGCGUAAAGAGCUCGUAGGCGGUUCGAUAAGUCGGGUGUGAAACCUCCAGGCUCAACCUGGAGACGCCACCCGAUACUGUCGUGACUAGAGUCCAGUAGGGGAGCGUGGAAUUCCUGGUGUAGCGGUGAAAUGCGCAGAUAUCAGGAGGAACACCGGUGGCGAAGGCGGUUCUCUGGGCAUGUCCUGACGCUGAGGAGCGAAAGUGUGGGGAGCGAUCCGG